GAUACAACCCACUCGGAGAAAGCUGACAGUGUGGUCUUGCUCUUUCUCCUCUUCAAUUUCAUACAUCCAAAGCUGCGUUGAUUUAUGCCACUGACCAAAUAUGGCUGGUCUGAUAGUUAUGUAGCAGUUAUUGACUCUUCAAGGUGUCAGCUUUCUCCAAUGUAAUUCCAAACUAAUUUUUGAGGAUGGCUUUUUUUAAUCACUAAUUGGUUUCUUUAAGCCAGUAUUAUUGGACCAGUCCUUAUACUGAGAUUUCUGGAUAAUUCACUGAGCAAGGAACAUUUGUUGUUUUAUGGUGAAGCUAAUGGGUGAAUCAGAUUGUUGCAUGUUUUGGAAAUGAUAAUGGAGCGUUUUUUCUUUUUUUCCAUCCCACUUUCUCCCCAAAUCUUUUUUAAAUGUGAAAAUGCUUGUGUGAAAAUGCUGAUUUAAUAAAAUGGCUGGUGGAGAAUUUGUUACCUAUUAUAUAAAAUCAACAUUUUUGCUCAAGCAAAUUUCACUAGCUUCCUUUUGCAGCAAGGGAAAUAGCAAAUCUGGCUGCUGAAGGGUGACAGAAUGUCUUAAAGAUCCAGAUCUGCAAUACCAGCACCACAAACAAAACAAGAAAGCGAAGUCCAUUCUGUAACAACAUUACUGGAAGAUAUUUGCAUCUUAAGAGGGCCGAUUCUUCCCCUUUGCAGGAGUUUGCUUUUUUCCCCCAUUAUUUUAGGACUCCUGAAUUUGGCUUUGUUUUCCAUUUUAGUAUUUCAAUUGUUUGUAAAUUAGUGUAGGUAUUUUGAAUUGUAGAGUUUUCAGUUUGCCGACAUGGCAUAUUUUUGCAGUGGUAAAGCUUUUCGUUUUAGCCCCAUUUUCUUUUCACAGCAGUUCAGUUCAGUUUUUACAGGUUUUUAGAUUCCUAAACCGUUCGGCACUUAAAGCUAGGGGCCUGUAAGAUCGUAAGUCUUGGCGCAUAGUUUGUUCAGUAGUACUGAUCUACUGCUGCCAUGCCAACCUGUAAGACAAGG